UGCAGUCGAACGGACUGCCCUCAUAAACCCUUCGGGGUUUUUGAGGAUCACAGUCAGUGGCGGACGGAUGAGUAACACGUGAACAACCUGCCCUCAGGCCGGAGAUAACCUGGCGAAAGUCGGGCUAAUAUCCGAUUGAGUUAAGGGAUGGCAUCAUCCCUUAAUGAAAGAUGGGCAUAGUACCAUUACCUGAGGAGGGGUUCGCGCCGGAUUAGUUAGCUGGUAGGGUAAAGGCCUACCAGGACAGCAAUCCGUAGCUGGUCUGAGAGGAUGAUCAGCCACACUGGGACUGAGACACGGCCCAGACUCCUACGGGAGGCAGCAGUGGGGAAUAUUCUACAAUGGGGGAAACCCUGAUAGAGCGACGUCGCGUGAGUGAAGAAGGCCUUCGGGUUGUAAAGCUCUGUCACCGGGGAAGAAGGUAUUUAUGAGGAAAUGCAUAGAUAUUGACGGUACCUGGAGAGGAAGCACUGGCUAACUACGUGCCAGCAGCCGCGGUAAUACGUAGAGUGCAAGCGUUGUCCGGAAUUAUUGGGCGCAAAGGGUACGCAGGCGGCCCUGCAAGUCAAAUGUGAAAGGUCACAGCUUAACUGUGAGAAUGCGUUUGAAACUGUAGGGCUUGAGUACAACAGAGGAGAGCGGAAUUCCUGGUGUAGUGGUGAAAUACGUAGAGAUCAGGAAGAACACCAGUG
rnacentral:rRNA from 1 species